AAAGGAAUUGACGGGGACCCGCACAAGCGGUGGAGCAUGUGGAUUAAUUCGAUACUAACCGAAGAACCUUACCCAGGUUUGACAUUGCGAGAAAGCCAUAGAGAUAUGGCCCUCUCCCACAAGGAGACUCAAAAACAGAUGUUGCAUGGCUGUCGUCAGCUCGUGCCGUGAGGUGUACGGUUAAGUCCGCCAACGAGCGCAACCCUCGUCUUAUGUUGCCAGCGAGUAAAGUCGGGAACUCAUAAGAGACCGCCGGUGUAAGCCGGAGGAAGGUGGGGAUGAUGUCAAGUCAGCAUGGCUCUUACGCCUGGGGCUUCACACAUGCUACAAUGGACGAAACAAAGGGCAGCAAGACUGCGAGGUGGAGCUAAUCCCAAAAAUACGUCCUCAGUUCAGAUUGUAGUCUGCAACUCGACUACAUGAAGGCGGAAUCGCUAGUAAACGCAGGUCAGCUAUACUGCGUUGAAUACGUUCCCGGGUCUUGUACACACCGCCCGU
rnacentral:rRNA from 1 species